UUUCCGGUUGAUCCUGCCGGAGGCCAUUGCUAUCGGAGUCCGAUUUAGCCAUGCUAGUCGUGCGAGUUCAGACUCGCGGCACCGAGCUCAGUAACACGUGGCCAAACUACCCUACAGAGACGGAUACCCUCGGGAAACUGAGGUUAACCCGUCAUACCGAUCUCAGGCUUGAAUCGCAGAGAUCACAAAAUGCCCCGGCGCUGUAGGAUGUGGCUGCGGUUGAUUAGGUAGACGGUGGGGUAACGGCCCACCGUGCCCAUAAUCAGUACAGGUUGUGAGAGCAAGAACCUGGAGACGGAAUCUGAGACAAGAUUCCGGGCCCUACGGGGCGCAGCAGGCGCGAAACCUUUACACUGCACGCCAGUGCGAUAAGGGGACUCCGAGUGCGAGGGCAUAUCGUCCUCGCUUUCGUGUACCGUAGGGUAGUACAGUAUCAAGAGCUGGGCAAGACCGGUGCCAGCCGCCGCGGUAAUACCGGCAGCUCGAGUGAUGGCCGAUCUUAUUGGGCCUAAAGCGUCCGUAGCUGGCCGCGCAAGUCCAUCGGGAAAUCCACUCGCCCAACGAGUGGGCGCCCGGCGAAAACUGUUCGGCUUGGGGCCGGGAGGCUCGAAGGGUACGUUCGGGGUAGGAGUGAAAUCCCAUAAUCCCGGACGGACCACCGAUGGCGAAAGCACUUCGCGAGAACGGAUCCGACAGUGAGGGACGAAAGCCAGGGUCUCCAACCGGAUUAGAUACCCGGGUAGUCCUGGCCGUAAACAAUGUUCGCUAGGUAUGACACAGACUACGCGUCUCUGUUGUGCCGUAGGGAAGCCGAGAAGCGAACCGCCUGGGAAGGACGUCUGCAAGGAUGAAACUUAAAGGAAUUGGGGGGGGAGCACUACAACCGGAGGAGCCUGCGGUUUAAUUGGAUUCAACGCCGGAA
rnacentral:rRNA from 1 species